rnacentral:lncRNA from 1 species
GUUUUUUUUGUUAAGUUACAACUCUCGCUCUUCUAAAGUGUUUGUUGAUCGAGUUGUAAACUUAAGUCCUAUGGUGCUCUGAUACUUUUGAACUGCUUUCUGCAUGCUUAUUUCCUCAAGUACCUUAAUGCACGCAUGCUAAAUUUCGUCAGACACCAUAUCUCAUCAUGCAUUUCAAAUUCUUCAUACUAUAUGUCAAAUGUGUGUAUGAAUUACAAGAUAUAGGGGGAGAUCUCCAUGAUAUUACUCUACAAUGUGCAUUUGCAAUCCAAAGCAAAUUCCUCAAAUAUGCACAUCUUCGGGGGAAGUUCUUCUAUAUAUUGAAAUCAAAUUCCUCAAUAUUAGUAUUUACACUUCAUAUGAUUAUCCCCGUUGAAAACUUAACCUAUUUGUUAUCAAUCACCAAAAAGAGGGAGAUUGUAAGUGCAUCUAGUGCCCCUUAGUGAUUUUGGUGUAUUGAAGACUUAUAGGUUAAGGGACUAAUGUGUUUGUGAGUGGAGACAGGUUCUAUAAGUCUAUGAGGAGUUUGAUAUUUACGAUGAAGGUCGACCCCUAAAAAUGAAUGUCUUCAGUUGAUGACCUUGGUUUUCUUGAAGACUUUGAAAAUGAGAAAAUUGGUGUGACCUUGAAGACUUUGAUAUUGAUGCGAGGAUUAUGAAGCGUGAAGACUUUUGUUUUCGUACUUUCAUUUUCUCUUUCUUAAGUCAUAGGAAACACCAUACUGUUAAAGGGGGUCGAGGUAAAACUAAGGAAAAGUUUCAAAGUGAUCCUCAUCUCAAAUCCUACACCUACCCAAUCCUUUCAAGUGAAGCCAUUGGAAAUCUCAUACAGUUCAGUCAAUUUCUUCAGUGACAGAGACGAAGUUCUUCUGUUCUCUGAGGAAUUUGUUCUGACUGAGGAGUUAGGAAUUCGCCAGUGCGGAUUGCCUACAAGUGAGGAACAUGAUAGCCUUUAGGAAUUUGAGAGCUCAAAUUUUCGACCGUUGCUUUGCUAUGCACCAGCUGUCCCAAAAUAUCUUAUCCACCUAACGGUCAUAUCAUUGAAGGGCAUUUAUGUCUUAUCAUGUCGGGAUGCUCCCCGGCUAUAAAUAGCCGCCCCCUACAACCACUAGUUGGUUGGCUGCUCUGAGAGAAACUGACACUUGUCAUUGAGAGCAUCCCAUCCUCCGAGGACUUUGAGUGAAAAUCAUCAAGUGAGAAAAAAAACCCAGACCCAAACACCUACAACACAAAGUGACUGAGUAUUACUGAAGAGAUUGUUCCUGUGUGGAACCAACGCUUGUUACCUUUGAGGAUUGUGCAUCCUCCAGACGGUUAGGCGUCAUGGUCUAGAGCAUCCAAGAGGAAUUGUGGAUCGCCGAGUGACCGAAUCUGUGAAGGUUUGGAAGACUUACCACGAGUGAUUGGGCAAGGUCUGUGUGACCUUAGCUCAAGGAGAAUAUGGUGAGGAAUGUGUGUCCUCAGGUUUAAAUAUCUAACCUCCCCAACCAGACGUGCAACUGUCACAACAGUUGGAACUGGUCCAAAUCGUUGUCUUCACCGAGCUACUGGUUCUAUUUCCUCAACCCUUUCAUUUCUUCAUUCAUAUGUUGAUGAAAUUGACCGUUACUGUUUGAAGACUUUGGCUAAAGACUUUCUCAAUUUCCUCAAUCCUAUUUCUUCAGUCAUCUUAUCUUCAACCUGCUUAUCCUAUUUACACGCUACCUGUACCCCGUGCUUAUUUCAUAUCAUCAUGAUGAUUGUGUUACUGCCAUGUUAUACUUGCACCUGAGUACUUAUUCCGCUGCUUGUAGUUCAUCACUUAGGAAAUUCCUCACUUAGAAUUAGGAAUUUCCUCAGUGUCGAAUUCAUAAAAAUUGCCUAUUCACCCUCCUUCUAGUCGAUAUAACGCACUUUCGGGGAGGUGCUCCAAACUUAUUAACAUGACAUCUAGUUUAAAAUAUUUUGAGGCGAGAAACACAACAGUGAAAAUGGUUCGUGAUUUGGACGCAUGGUUCAAAAGAUAAAACGUUUUGGAAAAUGAAUCUAGGAAAAGAGCACAAAAAUCUCUUGUUGUGACAAGUGUCGCACAUACAAUGCGUCAUUUGUCACCACAAUAAGCACAAGUUGUCCUGCUGCAAAUGAUGCAGAAACAAGGUUUUUUCUUCCAAAAUCUGAAGAAAGAAUACCUAAACUUUUGCAACAUUUUAUGCAAACAAACCAACAAAUUAGGUACAGUCGCUACAUUUUGGUGUUUAGAAAAACAUAAAAAUAUGUCAUUGACUUUCGGAGGCAUAUGGUAUGAGCAUAUUUGCAACAUUCAGGAACUUAAUACAUUCUUCCCAUUCGGAUGAACAUAACUCGAAAUACACUUAACCAGAGGUAUAAAAAGAAAGAAAUUAUAACUGGACAUACAAAAACCUUGUAAAGGAACAACUUCUGUCCCAUAUACCAAUAUAAUUUUCACCGUGUUUACUAAGAUAUGCAAAAAAAGGGGGGGAAUCUCAUCGACAGUCUCGUGGAAGAUCAGAACUAUUUGUGCACAGCUUGUUUCC